CCCUUGCGUCUGUCACUGGGGGGAAGUCUCGCUCUCAGGCUGGAGCCGGUGCCCGGUUCCAGUUCCGGUUCCUGUGUGCAAGGCCAGAAUCUCCAGUCCCUGCUCCACUGCUUGGGCACUUCGGAGUAUCAUCACGCACGCUCUCCCCCCACACCCCUUUCUUUUUUCCUCUUAAGAUAUGCCCCCCAUCACUAUUACCUCAGCCCUGUGAGUGUGGACUAGGGCAGGGAGAGACUCCCCUGUCUCCUACCAUUCCUGACGUGCAAGGGACCUCAGAGUCACUUUCUCCAACUCCCUGCCUCAUGCUGCAAUCCUCUCAAGCACCUCCACCAGAAGCGGCUCCUGCCUGAAACUUCUCAGGGAAGAGGUGUCCCCUGCCUCUCUGGGUGGCCGUUCUGUUCUGGAAAGUUCCAAUGGCUAGACGUAAGCCAGCAUCUGCCACACUGAAACUUCUCCAGAGAAGAAAAAACAAGGAGCAACAAGAGAUUUGUGUGAGAGGACGUGUUGGGAAAUUCUGCAGAAGUUCAAGGCCCGAGCCAUAGGGACACUGGAGAGGCCCAGGAAUCAUAUACAGAAGAAAAUUAAAGCAUUUGUUCUUCAGGAUGAGGGCAGGCUUAGGCCCCAGCAACAGAGAAGCUGACAAGGUCAAAGACAGAGAUGACCUAGAUGCUAUGAAGUUCCCUGGCCAAGGAUCAGAUCUGAGCCCCAGUUGCUACCUACACUACAACUGUGACAACGCUGGAUCCUGUAACCCACUGUACUGGACCUGGGACCAAACCUGCAUCCUGAGCACUGCAGAGACGCCACUGACCCCCUUGCGCUCAGUGGGAACAACGAAAUCUGUUUUAUAGAUGCGAAAACUGAGCUCCAGAGAAAGAAAUGCUUCUAAGCCAACAGCAGCCUGAUUUUGUCAAAGCAGAUGGGGAGGCAAAAGGGUAACAAAAAUUUAAUACAACUUCAGGCGUAAACCAAGAGUCAUCAGGCAGAUGUUGUGUAACAACCGCAAUGAUAAAUAUGACAGCAAGCUAUUAACAUCUACUGAGCAAUUAUUCAUUGUGCCAGGCAUCAUGGAAAGUGCUCAGUGGGUAUUGGCUCGUUUGGUUCUCAUACUAAGUCUAUGAAAUAGGUGGUGAUAUUACUUUUUAUUAUUAUAUUAUUUUCUCUCCUUUUUACAGAGGAAAAACUAAGGCUUAGAGAGGUUCAGAAACUUUCCCCAAGGGGUUAGGGAGGGAUGGAUUGGGAGUUGGGGAUUAGCAGAUGCAAACUAUUAUAUACAGAAUGGACAGACAACAAGGUCCUCCUGUAGAGCACAGGGAGCUCUAUUCGAUGUCCUGUGAUAAAACAUAAUGGAAAAGAAUGUGCAAAAAAAUGUAUAUAUGUGUGUACCUGAAUCACUUUGCUGUACAGCAGAAAUUAACAAAAAUUGCAAAUCAGCUAUACUGGAAA